GAAAAACCGUUGAGAAAGAGUAGUAAGUAAUCUGUUGAUAUUACAGAGAGCUGCAGGUGGUGGGAUUGCAGUAUGGAUCAUUUUACUGAAUGGACUUUCGAGGGUGACCUGAACAACAUACAUGAAGCAUACAGAGCCAUGUAUCAGCAGUAGGAGUCACCGGGAACCGAACCCGUUAUCAAUCAGGCGUGUAUGAUAGUACAUGAGAGAGUGGACCGGAUGGUCAAGAUGAGUGGUACCGCGAUAAUAAGAUUUUAUUACCGUCUCAAGC
rnacentral:ncRNA from 1 species